rnacentral:rRNA from 1 species
GACGAACGCUGGCGGCGUGCUUAACACAUGCAAGUCGAACGGAAAGGCCCUGCUUUUGUGGGGUGCUCGAGUGGCGAACGGGUGAGUAACACGUGAGUAACCUGCCCUUGACUUUGGGAUAACUUCAGGAAACUGGGGCUAAUACCGGAUAGGAGCUCCUGCUGCAUGGUGGGGGUUGGAAAGUUUCGGCGGUUGGGGAUGGACUCGCGGCUUAUCAGCUUGUUGGUGGGGUAGUGGCUUACCAAGGCUUUGACGGGUAGCCGGCCUGGGAGGGUGACCGGCCACAUUGGGACUGGGGUACGGCCCAGACUCCUACGGGAGGCAGCAGUGGGGAAUAUUGCACAAUGGGCGGAAGCCUGAUGCAGCAACGCCGCGUGCGGGAUGACGGCCUUCGGGUUGUAACCCGCUUUCGCCUGUGACGAAGCGUGAGUGACGGUAAUGGGUAAAGAAGCACCGGCUAACUACGU